GGGGAUGUAGCUCAGUGGUAAAUCUUUUGUCCAAUGCACAUGAGGCCCUGGGUUCAAUCCUCAGCACCACA
rnacentral:tRNA from 1 species